UACGUAGGGGGCUAGCGUUGUCCGGAUUUAUUGGGCGUAAAGAGCGUGUAGGCGGCCAUGUAGGUCCGGUGUGAAAACUCGAGGCUUAACCUCGAGAUGUCAUCGGAAACCAUUUGGCUAGAGUCCGGAAGAGGAGAGUGGAAUUCCUGGUGUAGCGGUGAAAUGCGCAGAUAUCAGGAGGAACACCGAUGGCGAAGGCAGUGGUCUGGGCCGAUACUGACGCUGAGGAGCGAAAGCGUGGGGAGCGAACAGG
rnacentral:rRNA from 1 species